GGGGAUAACACUUGGAAACAGGUGCUAAUACCGCAUAACCAUAGUUACCGCAUGGUAGCUAUGUAAAAGGUGGCUAUGCUACCGCUUUUGGAUGGGCCCGCGGCGCAUUAGCUAGUUGGUGGGGUAAAGGCUUACCAAGGCAAUGAUGCGUAGCCGAACUGAGAGGUUGAUCGGCCACAUUGGGACUGAGACACGGCCCAAACUCCUACGGGAGGCAGCAGUAGGGAAUCUUCCACAAUGGGCGAAAGCCUGAUGGAGCAACGCCGCGUGGGUGAAGAAGGUCUUCGGAUCGUAAAACCCUGUUGUUAGAGAAGAAAGUGCGUGAGAGUAACUGUUCACGUUUCGACGGUAUCUAACCAGAAAGCCACGGCUAACUACGUGCCAGCAGCCGCGGUAAUACGUAGGUGGCAAGCGUUAUCCGGAUUUAUUGGGCGUAAAGGGAACGCAGGCGGUCUUUUAAGUCUGAUGUGAAAGCCUUCGGCUUAACCGGAGUAGUGCAUUGGAAACUGGGAGACUUGAGUGCAGAAGAGGAGAGUGGAACUCCAUGUGUAGCGGUGAAAUGCGUAGAUAUAUGGAAGAACACCAGUGGCGAAAGCGGCUCUCUGGUCUGUAACUGACGCUGAGGUUCGAAAGCGUGGGUAGCAAACAGGAUUAGAUACCCUGGUAGUCCACGCCGUAAACG
rnacentral:rRNA from 1 species